UAAUUACCCAGAAGUUGGAGGGGAAUAUCCUGACCAUUUCUUCCUUCUUUUCCUGGAACAGUGUCCUAAAUCAUCAAUGUUCUUGUCAGCACAUCAUCCAAAUAAAAUCUACUGAGUCAUUUUUAGACCUUCUCCUGGGAGCUGAACAUUUCCAAAACUUCAAGUUGGACAAUCAUGAGAACUGGAACACCAGGGGGAGAAGGGGUUUGAGAUGCUGACUGUUAUCUACCUUUUGACUGCUGCCUUCAUCUGUCAGUCAGGGCUUCAGAGUGGGAAGAUACGAAUUAAAACACAGAGCUUCAGGACUCCUUUUUCAUUUUUUUCCCUGUGCUUGCU
rnacentral:lncRNA from 1 species